rnacentral:rRNA from 1 species
GCGGUAUUUUGACCGUGCUAAGGUAGCAUAAUCAAUUGUUUUUUAAUUGAAAACUAGUAUGAACGGUUUAAUUUACUUAAUUAGUUUGUAAUUUUUAAUAGUAAGUUAAAUAUAAAGUAAGAAUUCUUUAAUAAAUUAGGGGACGAUAAGACCCUAAAAGCUUUAUGAUUGGCAUUUAAUUAGUGAUAGCGGUGUUAUUAAUUCACUGGGGCAGUGAGUUUAGGUAUAUUUAAGUAUAAUUAAAAGCUCCUUUAAAUAAAGAUUUCAUGUAUAAGUUACUUUAGGGAUAACAGUGCAAUAUAUUUGGGGAGACCAUAUCUAUAAAUAUGAUUGCAACCUCGAUGU